AUGAGGGGAACCCGACUAUAACCAGAUACAGCCCUUUUAGCUUGAUUCUUGCUUAUUGUCCCUGUAUUCUCGCUAUCGAUACCAGGAUUAUUAUUUCUUUUAAUUUAUUUUGAACAGAUACACCUUUUGGCCGUAUGCGGGAAAUAUCUUUAAAUGAUGCAAUGGCGUCGUUUGCUGAUGUGGCAAGCAAGCCUGGAAACGUUUAGCUUCGAAGCUGUUGAGACUACGUACGUGACCUGAAUGGCGACGCAAAUGGCGAGUGGCUCGUUGUGGCGACAUCUACCGGAGCCGCUAUCGUUAGAUUUUUUGCAGUACCAUGUCGCACCGAGCGGUGUCGCUAAGAUGCUAAAUCAAAACUUAUCAGGGCCGUAACAAGCUUAAUUUAUGAAUUGAAAAGAAAAAUACAAAAAUAUUUUCUAUUUAAGUACAUUAUUUUAUUUCUUUAUAUAAUGAAAUAUUAUGUAUAAAUUUAUAUUUCCAUGUUUUAAUUGGUUGACCUCAUCAAUUUUCAAAAUUUUAAAUUUAAAUUAAAAAAUUAAAAAAUUUAA